AUUGAACGCUGGCGGCAGGCCUAACACCUGCAAGUCGAGCGUGCGGCGGACUGGUGACUAAUGUAUGGGGACUGCCCGAUAGAGGGGGCUAACUACUGGACACGGUGGCUAAUACCGCAUCCUAUCGGAUAACCCAUAUGGGAUUAGCUAGUAGGUGGGGUAAAGGCUCACCUAGGCGACGAUCUCUAGCUGGUCUGAGCGGAUGAUCAGCCACACUGGGACGGAGACACGGCCCAGACUACUACGGAGGCAGCAGUGGGGAAUAUUGCGCAAUGGGGGCAACACUGACGCAGCCAUGCCGCGUGAAUGAAGAAGGCGUUCGGGUUGUAAAGUUAUGUCGGUAGCGAGGCGUUAACUACAGAAGAAGCACCGGCUAACUCCGUGCCAGCAGCCGCGGUAAUUC
rnacentral:rRNA from 1 species